UCCGUAGGUGAACCUGCGGAAGGAUCAUUAAUGAAAUGUAGGACGCUCUUUUUAGAGGUCCGACCAAAUCAUUUUCCUUUACUCUGUGCACACACUACUUUUUACACCAUUUUUUAUACUCAUCAGUUUAAGAAUGUAAAACAAGUCUCGAAAGAGCAAUAAAAUAAUAAAACUUUCGGCAACGGAUCUCUUGGCUCUCGCAUCGAUGAAGAACGCAGCGAAAUGCGAUACGUAAUGUGAAUUGCAGAAUUCAGUGAAUCAUCGAAUCUUUGAACGCACCUUGCACUCUUUGGUAUUCCGAAGAGUAUGUCUGUUUGAGUGUCAUGAAACUCUCAACCCCCUCAUUUUGUAAUGAAGUGAGCUGUGGGCUUGGUUUAUGGCUGCUGCUGGCUUAACUGCCGGCUCAGCUGAAAUACACGAGCAACCCAGUUUGAAUACUUGACGGUUUGACUCGGCGUAAUAAUUAUUAUCGCUGAGGACGUCUAACUUUCAAAUCGUUAGUGGUGCUUCUAAUGCUUCAUCUAGAACUUUUAAGCUUUAGACCUCAAAUCAGUCAGGAUUACCCGCUGAACUUAAGCAUAUCAAUAAGCGGAGGAAAAG
rnacentral:rRNA from 1 species